rnacentral:misc_RNA from 1 species
UUAGUUUAUUUAAAUAUUUUCAGAUUGAACAUGUUUUUAAUGAUUUUGUUGUGGGCUACUGACGAGCACGGGCCAGAGAUCAGAGAUCCCCAGCGGCCUGUUUUAAGAGACGGGCCCGCCAAAGCAACGUGGUAAUUAUACAAAGGGUUGGAGAUCGGGCCUAGAAGACCCUAACUCAUUAAUGAUCCUUCCGCAGGUUCACCUUUAAAAGUUAGCAUAAUUUCAGAAGAGGGGUGGUGUUAACCGAUAAGAAAAGGAAAUUUGGUUAUGACAUACCUACGGAAA